UACGUAGGGUGCAAGCGUUGUCCGGAAUUAUUGGGCGUAAAGAGCUCGUAGGCGGUCUGUCGCGUCUGGUGUGAAAACUCAGGGCUUAACCCUGAGCUUGCAUCGGGUACGGGCAGACUAGAGUGCGGUAGGGGAGACUGGAAUUCCUGGUGUAGCGGUGAAAUGCGUAGAUAUCAAGAGGAACACCAGUGGCGAAGGCGAGUCCCUGGACGAUACCUGACACUGAGGCACGAAAGCCAAGGGAGCAAACAGG
rnacentral:rRNA from 1 species